GGGCCGGGCGGGCAGCGCCCACAGGUGAACGCGUACAUGGGUACGCGUGUGUACAGAAAUAGUAACGCACAGCAACAGCAUCGCGGGCCCGGGCGAAAAAAUUGCUGUCUACUGAAAACAGCUUCUCCCCUCCCCGCCCCCCUGCCGUUGAUUGCCGCCUUCCUGUACCUGCAAAAAUAACACCCGUGCGAGGUGGCAUGAAUAAGAGACUGAUUGCACUUGCAGAGAAAAUUUGACUGAUAUAAAAUGAGGUAGUUCAAUGGAAAUCCACUGAAAUCCCACCAGUGAUGUCAGAUGGAUGUCUCAGAGUUCAGGAGAAGGCAUACGUUAUGAAGAAUCCUCUUUCUUCCCUGACAUGAAUGACAUUCAAUCUCCAGUCUGGUACCUCUUUCUGCCAGCCACUGCUCUUCACUCAUCUUUUUGUCCUGCAACAGUCGGCCUGUGAUCCUGAAGAGGAGCUUUGUCAGAGGGACUGUUACAUGGGAAGCAUGCUUGAGUGGUGUGUUUCUGUUUUUCGAAUAUAAAAAAACACAAUUGCAUUUCCCAGUUGGCAGUAGAGUUUGCCUUUGAUUUAACUAAUUCUUGACGUGCUUGGGAAGUGGCUGGUGAUGCAUGGCUGACGUUCCUGAAGGAAAGAGCAACAGAGCUGUGGGAAGGCCCACCCUGGACUGCUGCCAGAAACAAUAUAGCUGCAUUACCGCCACACUCUAUACAGAUUAAUUAGCUCUGUCGAGAAGUGUCGCACUGUGCUAACGUGUCUACCUUUGUUCUGCAGCUUAAACUAACUCAUUUGGACCUGACUUAGGUACCUUUACAUAAGUGUGGUUUCUUUAUCCUUGGGAUAAGUCGAGGUAAAAUAACUCAUUCUACAGUGCUAAUCAUUUCUGGCAAAUUAUGGUCAGCGUUAAACAGUGACACGUAGCAGAUGCUGUGUGAUGGUAUCAUCUUGCUCUUGCAGGUAUCCACCUGUUCAAAGGAAUACAGCUGACCUGUAAAGUCAUCUCCCAGGUCUGUCAAUGCACAUAUGGAGCAUUGCUUCGAGCUGUUCAUUUUUCAACUAGAACGUGUCCAACAGCAGUAUAGCUCUUUCGGUCUCAGGACAUAUUAGCAAAGAGCAGGCUAAUUGCUAAGCCCCUAAUUCAAAGAGGAUCCCUCUGGACUGGGGUUUCUCUCUUUGUUCCCUGAGGACUGGAACACUGCAGUCUUGUGUAUGUUCUUGUCAAUUUGCACAGUGUAUGGGAAGUUUUGGCUCAAUUUGUACUUUCUUUAAUUGUCAUAUGUUGGUCUUUCUAUCAUCAAGAGGUCUAUUACAGUAAUUUAAAGAUUUAGCUUCAGAACGAAACUGGUUUUGGACACAAGCACUGUGGAAACCAGGGGCGCAUGGGGAUUGUAUGGGUGUCUCUGGUGUUUGCAUGACAAUGCUUGUUAAGUAUUUCUCUGUUUUGCUGUACAUGUAAUAAGGCUGUACAUAUGAUCAUGAUACAAGGACCAAACUUGUGAUGCUGUGCCAGAAAUGGCUGGUGAUAUCUGUGUCGGGGAGAGAGAGCAUAUCACUUGGCAAGGCACAGUUAGAUGGUGAACUCUGAUGGUAAAAUGGUAGCUGCUAAUUGGAUAUAAUGAGGUGAAUGCCUAAGGGAAGAUACCCUUACCAAACGAGUAAGUCAAGAGGCCAAUCCUGUUGGCAGGGAAGUUCUGAGUAUAUUAGUACUCACGUAAAACAGCCGUAGGGAAAUGAAUCAUACAAUUGAAGGUUGUUUGAAAAUGUCCUGUGUGCUACUCUGAGUUUGUGAGCAGCACAGUGAGCUGAAUUCAUGUCAAGUUACUAAAGUAAGAGGAAAUUUUUGAAUAAUCAUCACUAUAUAAUGACCUAGAUGACAAUGGGUAGGUUAAAAAUAAGAAAUGCAUUUUUGCAUUUCAGGGAAAUGAGAGUAGCCUUCCUCUGGGAAUCAGGGAAAAAAAAUGAAUGUGAGGAAGAGACUUUCCAAUUUUAGACCUGAUUAUCCUCUCCUCUUGCAACCUUGCAGAGUCAUUAACACUUUUGCAAAGGGAUGUGAAGUGCUAUCAUUGAGAUUUGGUAAGGCUGCUAUUCAUGCCCUGAUUUCCAUGGUGUGAGUCUGCCCUGGUCAGCAUAAGAGACUCCAAUUCUGGCAUUUCUGGCUUUAGAUUUCUAUUUAUUGUCCUCGAUUUGAGGGAGAAGAUGUAACAGCCGGUGUCAAGAGUACCACAGCUUCACAGGUGACUGAGAAGUGUUGCAUGAUGGAGAACUGGAUUCAUGGGGUUUCCAUGACACUAUUUUCAGAGGUUUUUAAAAAUAUUUGCAAUGAAAACUGCUUAUGAUUUGGAAGGUAUAAACAAUUGUCCCCAGGAUGUUCUAUGUUCUUUCUGUCUUGGUGAUGACAAUGAAAUAUACUGUUUUCCCAGAUAAACUAUAUUAGAAAGACUCCAAGAGAAGUGUCUGACCAGCAGGAAUAUCUGGAGUUACAGGGAGUCAGGAUUCUUCUUCUCAGCUUCACAACUCUGUGUGCAGUCAGAGAAAGUGAAAGAGAUGGAGCCAGCAAAGGGGCUCUCAGGGCUCCCUGGUUGUUCCCAUUAUCCUGACAGCGCAAAUGCACUCCCCAGUCUGCAGGCUGAGGGGCUUAGAAUGAAAGAGGUGAACUUUCUGCUAGUAAUUAUAUAACUGCAAUUGCUGAGAAUGUUAUAUUAGCAACAUUUUGUUGCAGUAUUUUUUGUAUAAAAAUAUUUGCAGCUAGUGUGAUUGUCCAAAGCAACAGGUUGGAUUUUUCACUUCCUGGCAUUCUGUUCAGAUGAAUGGACAUCCCACUGAAAUGAGGCUGCAGUCUUAAGUAUACAGGUAAAUAUUCUCCUGGACAUUGGAAUAAUAGAGAAGUUUUCUUCAGUCAGUCACUGAAAGUGAUUUUCAUUUAUUUCACAAGCUGAGGCAUGAUGGGACAGCUAUGACUAUGUUUUUUGAAGUCUCCAUUUGAGCUGAUAUCAGAUGAUCUGGUGAAGUCAGGGAAAUAUUUACUAAAAAUAGCAACUGGAAGUGAAGAAGUAGAGCUUUUGAAGAUUUUUCUGCUUUUUGCCUUUGGCAUUGCUUCUACAGGGUUGAGAGGUACUCACCAUGCUGGGAAAAGAACCUUUGAUUGCUCAGUUGAAUAGCUCUCAACUAACUGCAAAACAUGACAAUAAUGAAAAAUGGAGGAUCAAACUGCUCUGAAGAGACUUCCAUGAGUGAACCUGAAGAAUCUGACCCAAUGCUUUUAAAAUGAUUCCCUAAUUGGAAACAUAUUUUUUAAGUCUUCAAGCUGUAAAUGCAUAUCUUUCCUUCUGAGCUAUGCCCUCAGCUUUCACAAUAACAUAAGUAAUUUCCCUCUUUUUUUUUUUUUUUUUUCCUUCACUUUGUUUCUAUUUUCUGGUUUUCAAAAGCUGUUCCCUACCCAGCCUUUGUUAUUUAUGGAGACUGAUCAUGUUUAUUCUUAUAAUUGUCUUAGUGACACCAGCACAUCUAACCUGUGAACCCUGACUAUUUGGGCUGGAUGGUAAUUUUACUGAAGUUGUCAUUAAGGUGUCAGAGUGGAUUGUAGGACGGCUAAUUUGUGCCAUGCUGCCGUAGCUGCUGAAGGCCAAGGGAGGGUCCUUGCUUUGCUGUUUGUUACUCUCAGGAGAAAGUUGCCACUAAGACCCAGGAAGGGUUGUUCCAUGGCUUCUCAUUAUUUCCUCAUACUUUGGUUUUGUGUUGGGGAAUGUUAAUUUUACCCAAAUGCAAUCCUUUAAGUUUCAUUUUAUGUGGUUGCACCAUACCUUUGCCCAGGCAUGUCAAAAGCUUUUGUCCAGGCAUACUUUAAACAGGGUAAUUCCAUCUAAUUACUUGCUUCCUACAAACCCAUCAAGUGCAGCUGUUGCUUAAUGACCCUCAGUUAAUACAUUUGAAGUGUCAUCCAGGGAAACUGUGUCCUUCAAGAUAUCAAUUUAAAAUUUACAGUUAUCUCAACAAGGUUCACAUCUGACACCUUCAGGAACCUGCCACAUGCCUGUAUGACCACGAAUCUGUGAUGUAAUUUAUUUGAUUAAAAUAACUGAGAAAGCCAUUGAGAGAAAAGGUUUAUCUUAGAUUGUAAGCAGGCUGAAUUGAAUCCAAACUAUUUGUCAGUCCAAUAGUUAUAUAAAUAAUUGUGAGAACCUCAGCCUUGCUAACAUCUAUGCACGUUUAGUCACUAACUUUAAAUGGGCCAGGUUUUCAUCCAAUGUCUGCCAAAGAGCUUUUAAACUACCAUUGCUUUUAGUCUGCUUGUCCGAUAAAGAUCCUGGGAAAGGCAUACUGUAAUAAUGUGUCUGCAGCUGAUUUCCUCCAGAAAAAACAAUUUUCCCUGAAUCCAUAUGGUUGUUAACAAAAUGCAUUGUUAGCGGAAUUACUGUAUACAGUGGCUGUGAUAACACAUGCUACAAGUUGUCAUUUGUAAUCAUCACUGUUUCAACUGACUGUCUGCUCCUGGCUCAUGUGUUGAAAGAGGGUAAGGAAAAAAAUCACAUAUUGUCUUGCUUUAACCUCAAAAGGGCAGAAUGGUGCCAUCUAGCAAUUACAGGAGUUUGACUUCCUUUCUACUGUAAGCAAUUUUUUGCAAGUUCAAAACCUACUAAUGUAUGAGUGAGAAAAAUCCAUACAGAAUUAUAAAACAGCAAAAUAAUUGAAAACCAAUCUCUCUUCAAAGAAUGGGAAGAAGUUACAUUUGUCUACAAAUACAUAUGUUCCAAAAUUAGUACUACGUGUUGAAUUUUUAAUAUAUAAUAAGAGGUUUGUUCUGAAUUGAAAUUUUGAUGUAUUGACUUAAGAAAAAUAAAGUUAUCAGGGAAAUGAUGGUUAUUCACUGCUACCCCACAUUCUCCUUUCACAUAUCCCUUCCUUUUCUUUGAGCAGCUCCUCUCUUGUGCUGCUUCAUUGCAGCCCAUCAGCAGACAUUCUCUUUAGAAAGAACUAGACACCAUCUACUUGUCACCAUUCUGAGGAGAAAUACUGCAGUCGUAUCUCUUUCUUUCCCUGGUUACAGACUGGCAGAGGUGAGGGACACCUGCAGGACACAGGAUGGGGGGUCUGUGAUGUUCGGUACCUACCCAUACAGAAGAUAAGUCAGUCCUUAAACCACACAUAUAAAAUAUGCUGUUUUCCCUAAGUAAAAUAAGAAGAGAUUAGGUAUUAUAUAAUAAAUAUACAUAAAUAAUUAUUUCUUUUCAGUGCUGCUUAAAAGUUUGUAGAUAAUCCCAAAUCCAAUUAAUAUCUCAGCCCUUUUAUAUGCUGCAGUGUAAACAGUUUUAUCAAAAUAAAUGCAUUUAUGCUGCAAGACCAUGUUUCCAGAGAUAUAUGACUUUGCUAAGUUUAAAGUGUUUGGGCACACAUUUGUCAUGCUGAAUGUAUGACUCAGAAAAUUAUUUUUUAAUGGUUUGGCCAUUCUGAGAAUAAAGUUAAGGAAAAAUA